AAGUCGUAACAAGGUUUCCGUAGGUGAACCUGCGGAAGGAUCAUUGUCAAAAUCUCUCAUUGUAGACCGAGAACAUGUGACCUCCCGAUGCUUGCGUGGUGUGUUCCUUCAUUGGUCUAUCCACGCGAGAGCCUCCCUUCUUUCUAUUUACUAGAACGUUGGGUGUGCCUAACAACCCCUCGGCACGRACUGUGCCAAGGUAAUCAAUGGAAGUCAUUGUGGUGGUACCAUGUGUGCUCCACAGUGACUCGUUUGUACUUAAGAAUCCUCUGAGGAUCUCAGAUGACUCUCGGCAACGGAUAUCUUGGUCCUCGCAUCGAUGAAGAACGUAGCGAAAUGCGAUACUUGGUGUGAAUUGCAGAAUCCCGUGAACCAUCGAGUCUUUGAACGCAAGUUGCGCCCUAAGCUUCCGGGCCGAGGGCAAGCCUGCGUGGGCGUCAAGUUACGUUGCUCUUUCACCCUCCUUGAGGCUCAUUUUCUUGGUGCCCCUUGGUGAAGGUGUUCGAAGCAGAGAUUGGCCUUCCAUUCUCUUUCGACGAAUGGUGGGUUGAAGUUUUUAUUGCCGCCGGAAUUCGUGCAAGGGCAUGACGGUUGAAGUCUCGUAGUCUUGGACAUCUUUGUCCGCUACGGCUUACUUGUCGUUCUCGUCGAUCCGGUGUCAUUCCCUCUGUUCAUGGCAAUAUGUUGAUCCUACGCACUCCGUAGGGCAUCUUUGCCUUGACCAACAUCGCGACCCCACGUCAGGCUAGAUCACCCGCUGAGUUUAA
rnacentral:rRNA from 1 species